rnacentral:misc_RNA from 1 species
AGCAGUUGGUUCUGUUUCUCGUCGAGCAUUAUGUUGAUAUAAUCCUCUGUGUCGUCAACAUACUCCCUCAGAGUGGAUAGCUUGUUCAGGGUGCCAUCUAUCUGCACAAAGUAAGCCUCUAACAGCAUCUCCAAUUCCUCAAUGUUAGGCUUAAAACCACCUAAGCUCCCACGACUGCUUUCUAACUCACUGUUAAGAUCUUCAUCCCCUUCAUCAUCAGGCUCAGGCGCAUCAGCAUCUAAAUCAUCUCUUGAAGGGCUUUCACCGGCUGGUUGACAAACAAGCUUCUCAGUCAAAUACAUCUCAGCCAUAUCCAUGUCAUCAUCCAAUAAGUGUUCAAG